UCAUGGCCUGCCAGCAGUCGCGGUACCACAGCUUCUCGUCCGCGUCGAGAUUACAGCCACGGCCUUCAGGAGUGACCAUAGACGAAUCCUUUCUCACAGAAGACAAGAGCACCCAGAAUCGCAAGCUUCUUCAGAAACGAAGGACACUGGUGACCAAACUGAGGAAGAACUUGGCUGAGGAGUACCUGCAUUACCUCAGUGAGCGAGAUGCCCGCAAGAUCCUCAUCGCAGACCUGAAUGAGCUGCGGUACCAGCGGGAGGACAUAUCAUUAGCCCAGUCGCCAGGCAUCUGGGGGGAGGACCCUGUGAAGUUAACCAUGGCUCUUAAGAUGACCCGGCAAGACCUGACCCGCACGCAGAUGGAACUCAACACCAUGAAGGCCAACUUUGGAGAUGUGGUCCCCAGGAGGGACUUUGAAAUGCAGGAGAAGACCAACAAGGAUCUUCAGGAGCAGGUGCUGGCAGGCAGGCAGGGCCAGGAGGGUAGGACGGGGUCUCACAGGUGGGGGGCCAGGGCCAAUGUCCUUGCCCACAGCUGGACACCCUGAGAGCCAGCUACGAGGAGGUUCGCAAGGAGCAUGAGAUCCUGAUGCAGCUGCACAUGAGCACGCUGAAGGAGCGGGACCAAUUCUUCUCUGAGCUGCAGGAGAUCCAGCGCACUUCCACGCCACGGCCUGACUGGACCAAGUGCAAAGGUGAGGGCAGCGGUGGGGCCCCAGGUCCUGCUUACAUGUGGGCCCAGACUCCAGCUCCCUCUCCCCACAUGCAGAUGUGGUGGCUGGGGGCCCAGAGCGCUGGCAGAUGCUGGCUGAGGGCAAGAACAGCGACCAGCUGGUGGAUGUGCUCCUGGAAGAGAUUGGCUCGGGGCUGCUGCGGGAGAAAGACUUCUUCCCUGGUCUGGGCUAUGGGGAAGCCAUCCCUGCUUUUCUUCGGUUUGAUGGCCUCGUGGAGAACAAGAAGCCAAGCAAGAAGGACGUGGUCAACCUCCUCAAGGAUGCCUGGAAGGAACGUCUUGCUGAGGAGCAGAAAGAGACGUUCCCAGAUUUCUUCUUCAAUUUCCUGGAGCAUCGCUUUGGGCCCAGUGAUGCCAUGGCCUGGGCUUACACUAUUUUUGAAAAUAUCAAGAUCUUCCACUCCAACGAGGUUAUGAGUCAGUUCUAUGCAGUCUUGAUGGGAAAGUGGAGUGAGAAUGUGUAUGUCACCCAGAAGGAGACAGUAGCCCAGCUGCUGAAGGAGAUGACAAAUGCUGACAGUCAGAACGAGGGGCUACUAACCAUGGAGCAGUUCAACACUGUCCUCAAGAGUACCUUCCCUCUCAAGACAGAAGAGCAAAUCCAGGAGCUGAUGGAGGCAGGGGGCUGGCAUCCCAGCAGCAGCAAUGCAGACUUGCUCAACUACCGCUCACUGUUUAUGGAGGAUGAGGAGGGCCAGAGUGAGCCCUUUGUGCAAAAACUCUGGGAACAAUACAUGGAUGAGAAGGACGAGUACUUACAGCAGCUAAAGCAGGAGCUGGGCAUGGAACUGUGAGUGACCCUCAUCCAUAGGCAAGUCCCACAGGCUGGGCCCCUGAAGCCCCUGGGUCUCCCUGUGCAUCAUGCACCAUCCACUGCUCAGCCCAGCACAGAGGAGGGCACCUGGGAGUCUGGGGCACGGAGAGGAGGAGUCAGGGCCUGUCACUCUCUUUUCCUGUGGGGCAGCCAUGAGGAAGUGACUCUGCCCAAGCUGCGAGGGGCCCUGAUGACCAUCGACCCCAGCCUGGACAAGCAGACUGUGAACACCUACGUGAGCCAGGCCUUCCAGCUCCCUGAGUCGGAAAUGCCAGAGGAGGGUGACGAGAAGGAAGAAGGCAUGGUGGAAAUCCUCCAGACUGCCCUGGAGCGGCUUCAGGUGAUUGACAUCAGGCGUGUGGGACCUCGAGAGCCAGAGCCUGCAAGCUAGGAACCUGUGGGCAGCCUGUGUGCUCCAGUCCUGCUAACCCCUAGCUUUUAGUAUAAAAGUGUUUGUCUGAA
rnacentral:sRNA from 1 species